GGAACGAACGCUGGCGGCAUGCCUAAUACAUGCAAGUCGAACGAACUCUUCGGAGUUAGUGGCGCACGGGUGCGUAACGCGUGGGAAUCUGCCCCUUGGUUCGGAAUAACAGUUGGAAACGACUGCUAAUACCGGAUGAUGACGAAAGUCCAAAGAUUUAUCGCCAAGGGAUGAGCCCGCGUAGGAUUAGCUAGUUGGUGAGGUAAAGGCUCACCAAGGCAACGAUCCUUAGCUGGUCUGAGAGGAUGAUCAGCCACACUGGGACUGAGACACGGCCCAGACUCCUACGGGAGGCAGCAGUAGGGAAUAUUGGACAAUGGGCGAAAGCCUGAAUCCGAGAC
rnacentral:rRNA from 1 species